rnacentral:lncRNA from 1 species
UUGGAGCUAAUCCCGAUUGACAUGAUGAAAUGCAAUGUAUCUAAUGUUAAAUGACCUAAAAAUGAAUGCGUGAAUAAGGAGGGCAAAUUUUGGGGUGUUACACCUAGGAGUACCUAGGAUACUUUGGGUGCUAACACCUUCCCUCUGUGUAACCAACCCCCUUACCUGUAAUCUCUGACAUUUUAUUAGUUUUGAUUUGAAAAAUUCUUACUUUUUUGGUUUUG